rnacentral:rRNA from 1 species
UACGUAGGGUGCAAGCGUUAUUCGGAAUUACUGGGCGUAAAGCGUGCGCAGGCGGUUUUGUAAGUCUGAUGUGAAAUCCCCGGGCUCAACCUGGGAAUUGCAUUGGAGACUGCAAGGCUAGAAUCUGGCAGAGGGGGGUAGAAUUCCACGUGUAGCAGUGAAAUGCGUAGAGAUGUGGAGGAACACCGAUGGCGAAGGCAGCCCCCUGGGUCAAGAUUGACGCUCAUGCACGAAAGCGUGGGGAGCAAACAGG